UACAGAGGGUGCGAGCGUUGUUCGGAAUUACUGGGCGUAAAGCGCGCGCAGGCGGCCUUUUAAGUCUCGUGGUGAAAUGCCGGGGCUCAACCCCGUGCCCGCCGGAGAUACUGGGAGGCUGGAGACGAGUAGAGGCAAGCGGAAUUCCGGGUGUAGCGGUGGAAUGCGUAGAGAUCCGGAGGAACACCAGUGGCGAAGGCGACACGCUGGGCCGUACCUGACGCUAAGACGCGACAGCAUGGGGAGCGAACGGG
rnacentral:rRNA from 1 species